AUGCAAACAAUGAUCAAUUAUAUGAUAUCUGUCAGUAAUACACAUUCAGAAAAUAAUCGCAGACAUACCACGCAGUGCACGCACUCCACUUCUCCAACCGAAGGCAAGCCAUUGAUGGUUAUCUUACCUCUGCCAGUGAAAAGAAAGUGUCGGUGGCAUAUGAAGACUGCAACGAAAUUCGAUCCAUCCGGCUUAACUCGAGCAGAGAAAGAGUGCGGGUUAACUCGAGCAGACAGGAACUGCCCCCCUCCGCCGAGUCGCCGUCGUCGACCUAUCCAGGCCGGGCCGGCCACUUCCUUCUCUGCCCCAGCCCCCAGCCACGGUGGGCACGGUGUCAUCAAUACUCGUCCUCCUCACUGCUCCUCCCGUUGA
rnacentral:rRNA from 1 species